CACCAAUCAAGCCUGGCUUGGUGUUGGGCCCCGGGGAGAUCCGGGCCCCAAAGUUCGCCGGCCGGACGUCCCGGAUCUCAGCGUUGUGGCAUCAAAACCCGCGGAGAGAUGGGGCGGCCGUGCCGUCACAAAACCCAUUUUCAUGAAA
rnacentral:misc_RNA from 1 species